rnacentral:sRNA from 16 species
CAGAUACGCCGGGUCUCCUCCUCCUCCCUGAGACCCCGGUGUUCGCGGUGAAGGCCCUCCUCCUCCCUGGCCGACACCGCACCCCAAACGCGGCCCCUCCUCCUCCCUGGGCCGGCGUUGCGC